CAACGGCUCUUCAGUCAUAUCAGACUCCUCUCUUCACUUCAUCUCUUCACUUCAGUAAAGCAGAGCAUCUCCAUUCCAGUACUCCUAGAAGAAGCUCUCACUGGCCUGACCUUCUCACGCACAAUUUCACCGCUUCGAGCUCAGCCAACCGUGCCGUCGUGUCACGAUGGUUGCGGAGUUGAGAAGAUGGGAUGCCAAUUGUGAGGAUCUGUUGUGUCACUCCAUACUUGGACACUUGGUGGAUUUGGGUCUACCAAUUGGCACUAGUUUUCUCCCCCUUCACAAGUCAACUAGGUACCAUGUGCAGGAAUUCAAUUGAAGCGGUAGGCGGAUAACAUCAAAGAAAGAGUUGUACAACUACAGGCAUUCAUCCUUAUGGAUGGUUAUUGAGCGGUCCUUUGGAGUGCUGAAGGCCCGUUUUCCCAUUCUGAAUUUAAUGCCAAACUUCAAGCCAAUUAGGCAGCGGUACGUGGUUAUUGUGUGCUGUGCUCUACACAAUUUCAUACGCAUGAACAAUUGGAGUGAUGAAUUGUUCAGAACAAUAGGAGAGAGUGAUGGCGAAGGUAGUGCAACCAAUGGCGAAGGCGGUGGAGAUGUUGGAGCAUCAACAAGCUCAGUAACCCAAAGGCAUGUACUAGAAAUGUCAAGUGCAUCAAAGAGAGCGAUGGGCCAAGUUAGGGACAAUAUCACAGACACAAUGUGGAAUGAUUAUGUUGCUCAUGGCAAUGUGAGAUGAUUAUAUAUUGAAAAUGGAAAUUGACCAUUUCCUUCGCUGCACUAUUUUGGGUUUGUGUAAUUUGGAAUAUAAUGUACUUUUGGUUUAUAAGUAUUUUGGGUCUGUGUAAUUUGGAAUGCUUUGUUAUUGUUAAGGGUGAUGUUCUUGGUUCU